GAGUUUGAUCCUGGCUCAGGACGAACGCUGGCGGCGUGCUUAAUACAUGCAAGUCGAACGGAGCCCAUCCGGUGGCAACACUGGAGAAGGUUCAGUGGCGAACGGGUGCGUAACACGUGAGCAACCUAUCCCGAAGACCGGGAUAACACCGGGAAACCGGUGCUAAUACUGGAUGCCCCCACCGGGUCGCAUGGUCCGGUGAGGAAAGGAAUUUUGCUUCGGGAGGGGCUCGCGGCCUAUCAGCUUGUUGGUGGGGUAAUGGCUCACCAAGGCCACGACGGGUAGCUGGUCUGAGAGGACGACCAGCCAUACUGGGACUGAGACACGGCCCAGACUCCUACGGGAGGCAGCAGUAGGGAAUCUUGCGCAAUGGGCGAAAGCCUGACGCAGCAACGCCGCGUGGGGGAUGAAGGCUCUCGGGUUGUAAACCCCUUUCAGCAGGGACGAAGAUGACGGUACCUGCAGAAGAAGCCCCGGCCAACUACGUGCCAGCAGCCGCGGUAAUACGUAGGGGGCGAGCGUUGUCCGGAUUCAUUGGGCGUAAAGCGCUCGUAUGCGGCUUGGCAAGUCGGGUGUGAAA
rnacentral:rRNA from 1 species